ensembl:lncRNA
CAUCCCAUCCCAUCCCAUCCCAUCCCAUCCCACUCAUCCCAUCCCAUGGACUGGCUCCACCUCAUCAGGGUGUGGUGAUUAAAUCAGAGACCGAGCUCCUGAUGGCCCAGGUUUAUCCAGGCCCACCUGGAAUAACAAAUCCCACUGCCUCGUGCCACUACUUCCUUCACAUCAUUCUUCAGGCACAAUUUUUAAGCAUUUUCUUGAUUCUUGAGCACAAAGGACUAAUCUUUGGUAAAAAAAAGCUAUAAAAAUUUAUCCCAAAAGCACAAGGGGGACCCUGCAGGGCAGUGGGUUGUUAUGGAUACACAACACAUCCCCCAGCCCACAGCCCUGGUGGGAUCCCUCUCCAGAUCCAUCAGAAUAGCGGGAAUGACUUCAGCAGCUUUUCUCUCACUCACAUUGUUGGAACAAAGCCCCUGAGUUGGAAUAAAGUCCUGAAGAGCCCCCUUGGAGCUGCAGCUUUUGUAGCACGGGCUGAGUGUGCACGCAGGGCUGGUUAUUCUCCUCUGUAAUUGAUGUAAUUCUCUAACCUGUUUAAUUCAUCCAGGGGUGUCAGGAACUGGCUGCAGCUCUGCAUUCCCUGGAUGCACAUCCUGUGCUUGCUCUCUGCUCGCCCCAUGGCACAGCCAGGGUUUCACUGAAACCUGAAUAUCAGAGCAAAGUGAUCCUGCUGCAAAUCCUGAGCCUCUGCCAGCCCUUCCUUUCCUUGGCACUGCGCCUGAAAUUGAGGACUUGAGAGUUCAGCACCUGCAGCUCUGUGAAACCAUGGGGAGUCUCAGUGGAGAGAAGGAAGUGCAGUGAGUGGUUCUGGGAACAGACUGAACCCAGGGAGAGCAAGGGCAGCACCUGGGCUCUGCCCCAACCCAUCCCUGAGCAGGGCCUGGAUCCUGCCAGAGCUCACACUCACCUGAGGAAAACAUUCCUGACUCCCCUGGAUCCUGCCAGAGCUCACACUCACCUGAGGAAAACAUUCCUGACUCCCCUGGAUCCUGCCAGAGCUCACACUCACCUGAGGAAGACUUUCCUGGCUCCAUCCCUUGAGGCCACUGACCCAAGUCCAGCCCAGCCACCCAAACCAAGAGAAGAACUGAGCAGGGUGAGGGACCCACGGGCUCAUUUUAAUGCUGAGUGGGGAUGGGAGGUGCUGGGGGUGGCCAGAUGGGCUGGAAGGUGUGGAUGGAUGGGGAUGGAAGGGUUUGGGGAACAAACAGAGGGAGGAGAACCUUGUUUGGGGCGGUCACAACUUUUGGGGAUGAUCCUUGUGAAUAAACAUACCCCUCUGUGACUUUAAUUAGUGAUCUAACUUUAGUUAGUGAUCUUUGUCCGUGAUCAUAUCGGUUUUUAACGAUUCAAGGGAAGGAGGAGUGGAAUUCAACCCCAGCACAGGGCUCAGGCUGCCAGCCCUCCUCAGAGAAGCUGUUUCCAUCUUCAAAAGGCAGAAAAAAUCCUUCCUGAAACUCCCUCCCUCUACAAAGAAAGGGGAUACAGGAUUUUACACUGGAAGUUUUAUUUAUUUCCAGGGAUGGGGCAGCCACAGCUUCUCUGGACAAGCUCUGCCAGGGCCUCACCACCCUCAGAGCCAAGAAUUCCUUUGAUAGAAAAGAUUCCUUCUUUUCAAAGACUUGCAAAUAUUUUACACACACCAUUGCCCUUUCCCCUUCCACACUCCACAGCUCCAAGUGGUGUUUGAUUUUUUCAGUAAUACGACUUAAUACUCGAGCUCAAUGGUCGGGUUUUUUUUUUUCCAAGUCAUGUAAUCCCCUCAGCUUAGCUAUUUAAUUAAAAAAAAAAAAGAGAAGAAAGCAAAUAUCUGAGCUGCAAAAGGUUACAGACUGCAGUGACUCCGUGUGGAGAUGGUGCUGCCUUGGGAGGAGCAGGGAAUUCUCUGUGCCACUGACUGGAAAUGUUCCUCCUCCUGCUCCCCCUUCCUGUGAGGGAAAAGGACUUGGGGGGAAAACUCAGAGCAGCUGAAACAUCCAAACAGCAGCUGGGAGCCUGGGGGUCUGGGAGUGGGGAAAACACCACAGAUUUAUGGGAAAACCACAGAUUUUAUAGGGAUAGCUACAGAUUUCUGGAAAAGCCACAGAUUUUAUGGGGAUAGCUACAGAUUUAUGGGAAAUAUAUCUGGAUUUAUUUUCCAUAAAUCCACAGAUUUGUGGGGAUAGACAGAGAUUUCUGGAAAAGCCACAGAUUUCUGGAAAAGCCACGGAUUUUAUAGGGGUAGCCACAGAUUUAUGGGGGAAGCCACAGAUUUAUGGAAAAGCCACAGAUUUUAUAGGGAUUGC